rnacentral:rRNA from 1 species
GACGAACGCUGGCGGCGUGCUUAACACAUGCAAGUCGAACGGAAAGACCCUGCUUUUGUGGGGUGCUCGAGUGGCUAACGGGUGAGUAACACAUGAGUAACCUGCCCUUGACCUUCGGCUAACUUCACGCAACAGGGGCUAAUACCGGAUAGGAGCUCCUGCUGCAUGGCGGGGGUUGGAUAGUUUCGGCUGUUGCGGUUGGACUCGCGGCUUAUCAGCUUGUUGGCGGGGUAGUGGCUUGCCAAGGCUUUGACGGGUAGCCGGCCUGAGAGGGUGACCGGGCACAGGGGGACUGUGGUACGGCCCAGAAUACUACGGGAUGCAGCAGUGGGGAAUCUUGCACAAUGGGGGGACGCCUGAUGAAGCAACGCCGCGUGCGGGAUGACGGCCUUCGGGGUGAGAACCGCUUUCGCCUGUGACGUAGCGUGAGUGACGGUAAUGGGUAAAGAAGCACCGGCUAACUACGUG